CCAAACCCGUUGCUCUCCAAACUGUACAGAAUGUUUCCUCCAUCAGAUCAAUGUUGGUCUCCUAGUCUCCACAGAGGCACAGAUCAAAUGACAAUGGCCUCUUUUUAUUCGGUUCAAGCUGAAGUCAAGGAUGGAGGAUAGGAGGGAGCCAACGCCAAAGAUGUUGUCACCUGCAGAUACACUGGCAGAAAUCAGUUUCAGUGAUGACGAUUUGGAUCACGUUCAACUACCUUACGAAGAGCCGCUCCCGCUUGCCGUGUCACUCAAUGUAGCCAAUGUUUGAGUCCAUCGAGUGCUUAAUUCUUUGGGACCAAAGAUAGAAAUAGCAUAAAUGGCAUGCAUUCCAUGUGUGAGUUUGUGUCAUAAUACUAAUUCAUGUAUUUCGUAAAUUUUGACUUACGACACAAAUAUGAAAUCUUGAAGAUGUUUGUGCAAAAUUGGUAUGGCAUUCUUGGUUAGUUGAAAUUCUGUUGUUAUUAAUCAGAUUUCUGGUUGCAAUACUAAUUCACUUAGUUAAUUUUCCAAAAAGAAAAUUUACAGGUACAAGGAGUAUUUCAUCAAUGAAAAGAUUGUCUAUGACUAUUUGGGGGACUUGCAAACAAUGAAAAGCUGAAGUGUCUUUGGCUUUUCCAAUGUUUGCAAAACUUUCUUUUCAGGUCAACUCUGGUGAGUAUUUGUUUUCCAACUUAGUGGUUGAUGGACCCUUAUCUGUCAGAGGCAUCUGAUAUUAGUGACCAUUCAAUCCACGGCUCUCACUUUGCGCCUGGUCACUGGUGAACUAGCUCUGUACUUGAAAGAGUUAUCUUGAUCCGUGUUGAGGUCCAACAAGGUAACCGAAUUUCUGGUUUUCAAUCAUUUCUUUGUUUCUAUUUGCUGUAGGGAAGAAUCCUUUACGAAAUGAACUCUAUGCUAGCAUUUGGGUCUGGAUAAGCAUCUAUGAAGUUGUUGUGGAGGCUUGGACUUCUAACGAUACUUAUCUCCACCCAUCCAGACAUCGAAACUUCUCACUUGAAUACUAAUUAGUCCUCGUUACCAAAAAAAAAAAAAAAAUUAGUCCUUAAUAGUUUGAAUGAACUGGGAUGUAAGUAGGUAGAAAUCCUGUCCUAGCUAGUACUGAAAUGCCAAACCAUAUUUGAUAUUGGGUGUUAUGUGACCUAAAAACAGUAUUUCCUUGUUCAUUACCUGGUAUUUCAUAUUCUUUAAGUGCUGCAGGAUAUGGGUAUUAGCUUUCCAUAUAGCUCUGGUUGACCAACCCCAACUAGAGAGUUUGAUGGAGGAGUGAUAAGAGCAAGCUCAAAGAUGGCAAUUUAUUUUGAUUGCAUCUCACAUGUGUCCCGGAAGUCUAUCCACCAUUUAUAACAAGUCAGAUAUCCUCUACUCUUAAUACAAGAUUCCAAAGGCCAAGCCAACCCACUUGGAUCAGCCUAAAGCUUGAAGAGGCCCUACUUCAGUAAGAGGAUAAACCCUCUAACAACUCUUCCUUCAUUUGAUAUGAACACUAUUGCGUUUUCUGCUUCACAAAUUACUUUCACUUACUGUUUAUCUCUUAUCUCUCAUGUUCCACUGGGCUUGAGUUCCAAUAGCUGCUUUCUCUGCAACUUCUGUUACCUGUGCAUCUUCAGUCAAGCUCUUCUCAGGAUUAAUGCGGAAUUGAAUCAAAAUGGCAGUGACUUUGAGAUGAUCUUUCUUGUACAUUCCAAAUGACUAUAUAACUGAAAGGACUUCAAAUCUGAAGCUGGAUACAGCUUGCAGAAAGAAGAGCUUCCCUUCUUUGAGGACCAAUGGCUUCCGUGUCUCAUGUGUUAUGAUUGACUGUCUUAUAAAGAUUGACAAUUCUACAAUAUGCUGGUGGAAAUGGUAAUGACUUUGGAGGAAGAAUUUAAAAUAGGUGUUGAAGAGGAAAGUUCCCAAAGCAUCACAACUGUCCUAGAGGCGGCUGAAUUGAUGGAGAAGCUUGUGGAAAGGAAGACAGCUUAAAAAAAGAAAGAAGAUCCAAGCUGAAAUCAAACUGAGUUGUCAUUCUUUUGAAUUAGCUGGAACAUUUUCGAUCCAAAUGACAUUCUUCAAUGGCACAUCCUUGCAUUGGUUUACACAGAUAGCUUUCUGAUUAGUCAUCUCCCCUCGCUAUCAAGUGCCCCAUGCCACAGGUAUAAAGUCCGAGAAGUUGUUCCCGUCAAUGGGGUUAAGACUUGGUAAGUCCAGAUUUGUUUUUGUUUGCUUGGAAAAUUUUGCUAAUUGGACCGAUUCACAGCCUGAGCUGUCCCCCUUUAGCGUGUAGAAUGAGUAAAUUAGAAUCUUGGUUUACUCUGGUGUCAUUUGGCAUGGGUCAAACAAAAUUGAGUAUGUAUAAAGCUCCGAGAAACUUGCAGUUCUGGCUGUGUUUGUGUUGUAUUUUUUUCUUGUUAUGGAUAGGGUUAUAACGAGUUCAGGCUAUUCAAGUUUGUAAGUUUAUGUGCUUGCAUAUUGGUUCAGGUAUAAUGUUAAUAAACCAUUAAAAGUUUAGAAUUUUUCAA